AUGAUGAAAGAAAUAUUGGAAACUAGCGAAGAUCUUGGGAAGGCUUUACAGAAGAAAGCACAAGACAUAGUAAAUGCAGUUCGUCUAGUGCAUUCCACAAAAGUACUUCUGGAAGAGAUGAGAUCAGAUGAAGGAUGGGAGUUGUUCAUUGGAAAUGUUGUUGAGUUCUGUGUGGAGCAUGAUAUAGAUAUUCCAGACAUGGAAGAACUAUACAUUCUGCGUGGUGGGCGUGCUCGUCGUCAACCUGAUCACUUUACUAGAGAAAGGUAUCUACGAGUGGAGAUAUUUCGAGCAACAAUUGACAACCAACUAAAUGAAUUGAAUCUUAGGUUCAAUGAGAAAGUGAUGGAUCUCUUAUCCAUUAGUGUUACAUUGAUACCAAGAAAUGGAUUUACAUCAUUCAAUGCUAAGGAAAUAUGUUCAAUGGUGGAGAAAUAUUAUCCUGCUGAUUUUACACAACAAGAGAGAUAUGGGUUGGAGAUUCAACUCAACCAUUUUGCUGCGGAUGCUAAAAACAGCGGAGACUUGAAGAAGCCCAUCACCAUAACUUCUUUAUGUUGAUGCCUUGUUGAGACAGGACGAGAUAGAAUUUACAAUUUGCUUGAUAGGUUGCUUCGAUUGCUUGUUACUCUCCCGGUUUCCACUGCAAGUGCUGAGCGUGCUUUCUCGAGCUUGAAGAUUAUCAAGUCAAGGCUACGUAAUACAAUGGAAGAUGAUUUUCUUGCAGACAGUCUGUUGCUACAAAUUGAACGAGAAAUUGCAUCAAAAAUUCCUUGUGAAGAUAUAAUUGCUGAUUUCAAAAGUAGGAAGAAUAGAAGAUCGUAUCUUUAG
rnacentral:rRNA from 1 species